AACAGGAUUAGAUACCCUGGUAGUCCACGCCGUAAACGAUGUCGACUAGCCGUUGGGAUCCUUGAGAUCUUAGUGGCGCAGCUAACGCAUUAAGUCGACCGCCUGGGGAGUACGGCCGCAAGGUUAAAACUCAAAUGAAUUGACGGGGGCCCGCACAAGCGGUGGAGCAUGUGGUUUAAUUCGAUGCAACGCGAAGAACCUUACCUACUCUUGACAUCCAGAGAACUUAGCAGAGAUGCUUUGGUGCCUUCGGGAACUCUGAGACAGGUGCUGCAUGGCUGUCGUCAGCUCGUGUUGUGAAAUGUUGGGUUAAGUCCCGCAACGAGCGCAACCCUUAUCCUUUGUUGCCAGCGGUCCGGCCGGGAACUCAAAGGAGACUGCCAGUGAUAAACUGGAGGAAGGUGGGGAUGACGUCAAGUCAUCAUGGCCCUUACGAGUAGGGCUACACACGUGCUACAAUGGCAUAUACAAAGAGAAGCGACCUCGCGAGAGCAAGCGGACCUCAUAAAGUAUGUCGUAGUCCGGAUUGGAGUCUGCAACUCGACUCCAUGAAGUCGGAAUCGCUAGUAAUCGUAGAUCAGAAUGCUACGGUGAAUACGUUCCCGGGCCUUGUACACACCGCCCGUCACACCAUGGGAGCGGGUUCUGCCAGAAGUAGUUAGCCUAACCGCAAGGGGGGCGAUUACCACGGCAGGGUUCGUGACUGGGGUGAAGUCGUAACAAGGUAACC
rnacentral:rRNA from 1 species